GACAUACGCAUAGGUAAAGAGAUAAUCAUUUGCAGAGGGAUGGGAUGAACAAUGCUAACAGUGUGGGAAGUGAUCAAGAACAUGCUAGAGGGCCUGGUUACCGAGUGGAAACGAAGAAACUAAAAUUUAUUGAAUUCGUAUGCUGAGAUAAGAGAUGGGUGGUGGUAGCAGGCUGCCUGGAUAUGGAUCAGAAAACUCAUCGCCAUCAACCAGCAGGGUGAGAAGAACAGACAGGGGCCUUGGCAUCAUGCAGUCUCUGGACACUGGCAGCCCCCAGUGCCUCUGCAGAUCCCUGGAUUAUCAGAGAUUUAAAAUAUUGCUAACACCAACUGCUGAAGAUGAUGUGGAGAAUUCAGCACUGUCAUACAGAGCCGGGAGGAGCAUCGUUUGAUGGCACGACCUUUCUGGAGGAAAAAUAGCAAAAUCUACAAAGGUCAUCAGCCGAGAAAUGCCACUUCUGGAAGUUUAUCAGAAAACAUCACUAAGUUUCAUGCAUAAGAAUACUAAUUGUUGAGUUUCCUGUACUUUGAAAAAUUUAGAAAUAACCUAAAUAGGUUAAUGGUAUGGGAUUAAAAUGCAGUACUCUCUAAUACUAGGCAUAAAAUGCAACAUUCACGCAAAAUACCUAGUAAAUUAUUCACAUGCUAUUACCCAAAUACAAAAAUGGGCUACAACAUGGUGGUCUAUAACAUAAUCAAAUUUUUACAUAAAAGAGUAUAUUGCUUGCAUAGAAAAUGCUUGGAAUGAAAAUAAAACUGUGUGUGUAUAUAUGCACACAUGCACAUAUAUACGUAUAUGAGAGCAAGAGACGGAGAGAGAUUGAUCAUCACUCUUAACCCAUGGCAAUUUAGCUCUUCAAUCAGUGGACAUUAGGCAGUAUCUGAGGACAUAUUUUGUUUGUCACAACUGAACAGGGUGGUAAUAAUAGCAUCUAACAGGUAGGGGCAGGGAUGCUGUUAAAUAUCCUACAAUGCACAGGACAGCUCCACACAACAAGUAAUUAUCUGUACCAAAAUAUUAAUAAUGCUGAAGUUAAGAAACCUUGAUACAUGUGAAUAUAUAUCUAUAUUUAUAGUACUUAUGAGAACAUUCUAUGUUUGACUUGUCUUUGCUCCUUUAUAUUUUUCUGUGGUUUAAGUGUUUUUGAAAAUAGCACUAGAUUAUUUUCAGAAUCAGAAAAGUUAAUAAAAUGAUAUCUAAUUAGGGGAGGUGGCCCUUAAAGAGUCACAUUCUUCUUGCCUCUUAAUUCUUGACUAACCUUUCUCCUCCUUUUUUUGAAUGGCUAUAAUACUUCUAGUUGGUAUCACAUCACUUAAGAUAAUUGUAAUUCAUUUGGUUUUAUUAUGGUAUACUUUUCUGUGUAUUCAUCUCAACUCUCCAGCUAAAUUCAGGAACCACAAACAAUUUGAGGGGAGGAUUCAUGCUUUCCAGUUGCCCAUCCUAGAGCCCAAUAUAUGGGAAAUUCUUGGUACUUACCAAGGAAAGCAUGGAAUAAAGGAAGGAAAAAGCAAAGAGAGAAAAGAAGGGAGGGGGGAAGAAAGAAGAAAAGGCUACUGACUUUAUAAAUCUUUAUACUUUGCCCUGCCCUUUCCUGCCCUGCACCUGGCUCAGGGCAGCCCACAGAACAGGCACCGUUACAUGGGGGUAGAGGGAGUAAUGUGGUAUAGCAGAAAUGGCACUGGCUUUGGGGUUAGAGAAGUGGAUUUAAAGUUUGCUCUUGCAACUCACUAUUUUAUUUUUAUUUAUUUUUAAUUUAGCAAAUACAGUGCUUCCUACUUGCCAAGCACUGUUCUAAACCUUGCAAAUAUUUCUUGUGUUAUACUGGACAAAUGCAUGAAGUUUCCAGAGACCUGACUCUUCAUCUUUAAAAUGGGAACAAUAGUACCUUGCAUGGUUGUUGUAAAGUUUAGAGGUGAUAAUGUAUAUAAAGUGCUAGGGAUGGUGCGUAAUGCAUGGUAGGCGAUCAAUACAUGGAGUGAUUUUCAUCAUUAUCAUUGUCAUUGUUUCCAUAACUCUGAUCACUCAAUAAAGUCUUUCAGAUGAUAA